UAUUGAACGCUGGCGGCAGGCCUAACACAUGCAAGUCGAGCGGUAGCACAGAGAGCUUGCUCUCGGGUGACGAGCGGCGGACGGGUGAGUAAUGUCUGGGAAACUGCCUGAUGGAGGGGGAUAACUACUGGAAACGGUAGCUAAUACCGCAUAACGUCGCAAGACCAAAGUGGGGGACCUUCGGGCCUCAUGCCAUCAGAUGUGCCCAGAUGGGAUUAGCUAGUAGGUGGGGUAACGGCUCACCUAGGCGACGAUCCCUAGCUGGUCUGAGAGGAUGACCAGCCACACUGGAACUGAGACACGGUCUAGACUCCUACGGGAGGCAGCAGUGGGGAAUAUUGCACAAUGGGCGCAAGCCUGAUGCAGCCAUGCCGCGUGUGUGAAGAAGGCCUUCGGGUUGUAAAGCACUUUCAGCGGGGAGGAAGGCGUUAAGGUUAAUAACCUUGGCGAUUGACGUUACCCGCAGAAGAAGCACCGGCUAACUCCGUGCCAGCAGCCGCGGUAAUACGGAGGGUGCAAGCGUUAAUCGGAAUUACUAGGCGUAAAGCGCACGCAGGCGGUCUGUCAAGUCGGAUGUGAAAUCCCCGGGCUCAACCUGGGAACUGCAUUCGAAACUGGCAGGCUAGAGUCUUGUAGAGGGGGGUAGAAUUCCAGGUGUAGCGGUGAAAUGCGUAGAGAUCUGGAGGAAUACCGGUGGCGAAGGCGGCCCCCUGGACAAAGACUGACGCUCAGGUGCGAAAGCGUGGGGAGCAAACAGGAUUAGAUACCCUGGUAGUCCACGCCGUAAACGAUGUCGAUUUGGAGGUUGUGCCCUUGAGGCGUGGCUUCCGGAGCUAACGCGUUAAAUCGACCGCCUGGGGAGUACGGCCGCAAGGUUAAAACUCAAAUGAAUUGACGGGGGCCCGCACAAGCGGUGGAGCAUGUGGUUUAAUUCGAUGCAACGCGAAGAACCUUACCUGGUCUUGACAUCCACAGAACUUUCCAGAGAUGGAUUGGUGCCUUCGGGAACUGUGAGACAGGUGCUGCAUGGCUGUCGUCAGCUCGUGUUGUGAAAUGUUGGGUUAAGUCCCGCAACGAGCGCAACCCUUAUCCUUUGUUGCCAGCGGUUAGGCCGGGAACUCAAAGGAGACUGCCAGUGAUAAACUGGAGGAAGGUGGGGAUGACGUCAAGUCAUCAUGGCCCUUACGACCAGGGCUACACACGUGCUACAAUGGCAUAUACAAAGAGAAGCGACCUCGCGAGAGCAAGCGGACCUCAUAAAGUAUGUCGUAGUCCGGAUUGGAGUCUGCAACUCGACUCCAUGAAGUCGGAAUCGCUAGUAAUCGUAGAUCAGAAUGCUACGGUGAAUACGUUCCCGGGCCUUGUACACACCGCCCGUCACACCAUGGGAGUGGGUUGCAAAAGAAGUAGGUAGCUUAACCUUCGGGAGGGCGCUUACCACUUUGUGAUUCAUGA
rnacentral:rRNA from 1 species